ACUCAAAGGAAUUGACGGGGGCCCGCACAAGCAGCGGAGCGUGUGGUUUAAUUCGACGCAACACGCAGAACCUUACCUAGAUUUGACAUGCAUCUGCAUGGUGGUGAAAGCCACCAGCCUUCGAGGGUGAUGCACCGGUGCUGCAUGGCUGUCGUCAGCUCGUGUCGUGAGAUGUUGGGUUAAGUCCCGCAACGAGCGCAACCCUUGCCUGAUGUUAUUUGUGUCAUCAGGGACUGCCGUGGUGUUACCACGGAGGAAGGCGGGGAUGACGUCAAGUCCGCAUGGCCCGUACGUCUAGGGCGACACACACGCUACAAUGGUCGGAGGAAUGCGUUGCGACCCAGCAAUGGGCAGCGAAUCGCCAAGGCCGACCUCAGUGCAGAUUGGGGGCUGCAACUCGCCCCCAUGAAGGCGGAGUUGCUAGUAACCGCGUGUCAGCAAAGCGCGGUGAAUACGUACCCGGGCCUUGUACACACCGCCCGU
rnacentral:rRNA from 1 species